UUAUGUUAUAGGGACGAUUUGGAUUGAGGGAAAAAAAAAAGUUUUUUGAUGGAGCUGAAUAUGAUAUGUGAGAACUGGGAAGGUUAAAUUUGCUUUUCUUUGAAUGGAUACUUGAACUAUCUUGCUGCAAUAGGAAGGUUAGCUCGAAUUUACUCGUCUUCUAGAAUAAAGUAAUCAAUUACGAGGAAAGGCCCACUGAUCUGGGUAGCUAGAAAGAGAACCUAUUGAUAUGUCUUAGUUAGGGUGCAUAAAAAAUGGAUUUCACGGAUGUAUGAUAGCUGGGGUAAUUAUGGAGAUGAGUUAAAUGUUAUGGCUAUGAGAUUUACAAUAAGCGGGUUUUUACGGAGGAAUUCAGAAUCUGAAAAGGGGAGGACUGAUGCAAGGAGAUUUAGAGAAGCAUUUUAGAGGUUGGAGGUUGAUUCCCCUUGAAGGAAGCCCCAACUCCUUAUGUUUAUAAUUCAUAUAAUGUUAGAAGGAUUAAAUCAGCGGGUGCAUUGAUUGUUAUACUAAGUGUUUACAGAGGAGAUGGCUGAGUGGAGUAGGGGUUAGGAGAUGUGGUUCAUGUAGAGAUAGAGAUUGACAUUUGGCUUCCAAGGAAACAAAAACAAAUUUUAGACCUCAGCAGCCAUGGGCCACAUGAUGCUGCACAAAGCCUUUCUGACUAUAACAGUGGAAUGUUUGUAUGACUCUUGGUGAUAGACUAGCCUAUAGCCUAGACAUAGUCUAGGCAAUCACCUAAUUGACGGGCUUGGUACAAAUUCUGCCAAAUUAUUCUUUGACUCAAGUACUUCAUUUUCAUAAUUAGAUCUUUGAACUGUUUCAAAACGUUAACUUUUAAGAUACCUUGAAACAUAAGCAAUCAAGACACUUUCAAGUCAUCUUAUAAUUUGUUAAACUUUCGAAUUAUAUUUUAAUUUGUUAAAUUUAUACUGAGUUCGUAAUAAAUGUAAUAGAAGUAAUGACAUAUAUUAUUGUUGUUGUUUUAGCUCAAAUUCUGAAGUUUGUCAAGCUUCCUUAGUUGUCUAUCCUGCUAGAGAUUGGAGCUAAGGUUGAUAUUGUUGAUGAAAGAUCCUUUUCGUGCUUACUUGUUUAACACUUAAUUUUAGGUUUUUUUUAUUAAACAUUAUAAUUUUUCUUUGAGAUUUAAUCGAAAGUUUGUCGCUCCCUUAUAUAUGUGUCAUGUAAGAAAAAGAUUGCAAGAAAAUACUUUAUACCAUAUUUAUGUGUGCAUGUACAUAUUUAGAUACAUACAUGUUUAAGAACGUAGCUCUAGGUACACACGUGUUUAUGUGUUUGCACAUGUAUGUUUUUACCUAUACAAACUAAUGUUAUAUUUCUGCAUAUGAACUCAAAUAAACUAAUGUUAUGUUUCUACAUAUGAAUUCAUAUAUAGAACAAAUUCAUUCAUAAAUGUAUAUAUAGUACAGAUAUAGUUACAUGUACACAUGAAUGUACACGUGGAUCUUUGUCAAUGUAUAAGUAUAUGUGCAUGAUAGUUUAGGCAAGGCUCACCUAGGAGUUUGCAUGCCUGUCUGUCACCCAUGCAGUAGCCUCGUUCCUAGGCAACCAUCUGUAACGACUUUGGUUGUAACCAUCCUAUGAUUUAAUAGUACCGGUACCAAAUAUAUGCUCGUGUAUUGUCCAAGCUCUGAGGUUCAGAGAAAUUCAAUAUCAUAUCAAACAUAUCAAACCUCUUCUAUUCCACAUACAAAACGAAAAGUAACCAAUUACCACUAAUGUUAAUGUAUAUACAAUUAUAAAUGGAAUCUCAAUUGACUCAAAGACAAACUUGCCCAUGCAAACAGUACAUUAAGUAUGGCUUGGCAUCAAUACUCAAGUAAUAAGGCUGAAUCAACAAAACCUUUGCAGCAUUCAUAGGCUAGAAUUCUAGUUGCUGAAUAAAUAAAAGACAAGCCAAAGGCAUUGACGAUUCUUCAUUGCAAGUUAAGGAAUUACCAUGCUUUACUGUGAUCCCCUGCUAUGGUCCAAUCCUAUCAGUAGAAAAUCAGUAUGGGAGGACAAGUUUCAUUUUUGAAAAAAAUAUUAGCAUAAAAUUUCAACAUCUUUUUGACAGUCACCAAAUCCACGCAUGAGUAAAAUCUACAGAUCAGCCAGGUUCAUGCAUAUGGAUGGAAAGUCAUCCUUUGUAAUGUUAGAAUAGGGGACAUUGGCUUGCCUGAGUCUGAAUUUGCAAGCAAUCUUGGCAGUCUCAUUGAAGUCCGCAGGCAGCUUUGGCAUUUUGGUUCUUGGAGUCUAUAAUUCCAAUCUAAGUAGGUUGACACACAAAAUUGGAAAAUGGCGUUUAUAUGGCUAAGCUAUCUUUAGAGAAGGGUAAGAUUGUGUCACCUUAGCAGCUCUAUCAUAGAAGAAAGAUGCCCCAUAUGGGUUCUUCUGCUAACCUCCACCUCCACCAUUCCACACACCAAUCUCAUGAUUUAGCCUUUGCUGACCAUAUAAAUUCUCAGUUUCUCAAAACUUGAAAAAAGAAGCAGAGUGCCUUGAUCAGAUGCAACCAUCCCAUGAUUUAGCCUUUGCAAGGACUUCUAUAGAUUAAGUGAAGGAGAAGAAUUGAGCUGAAAUUUUAACUAUUAGAAAUGUUAAAGUCUAGAUGCCGAUAAGUUAUAUGAACACAACUUUGCAACUUGAGCAGCAUUUCAUGAACCGUGCCUUUUUUGGCAUAUAUUUGAACAUAAAAUAUACUUUUCUGCAUAUCUAGGUAUGCGCAUCUUAGACCUUCAAGCAUACUCUCUUUUGUGCUAUCAAUCUCUUCUGUUAGCUAACCAAUUGAACCCCAAAGCUUAAGUUGGUAGAGAUGGGUUAACAAUGUGCAUCAGGCUUAACAACCACCACCCACGGGGCAACCUGGACCAUGCAUGUGGAGGGACCACAAUGAGUCAAAAUAACAAUUGGGUUAAUUAAAUCAGUAAUUAGCAUGGAGGGGAUUCCAACUCAUGACCUCCAGCAAACCUGUGCCAGAUACCAUGUUGACUAACCAAUCAACCCAAAAGCUUAAGCUAGUAGAGAAUGUGUCGACAAUGCAGAUCAGGCUUCACAUCUUCAUUACAAGUAAAAUUUCAUCCUUUCUCAUGCAUACAUCGUAAAGGAUAAAACCAAGCAGAUGAGUAUGACCCUCUUCAUUCCAUGGAUGAUAACUUAUGGUGAGCUGUCUGGGAAUGUGGUUCUUUCCUCUUUCUUGUUUAUGUUUCUGUUGUUAUUUGAGAUUGUGCAGAUAGGUUUAUCUGGUUGAGAAUGUCUUGUGCUGUUUUGUUCUGUUUGUUUGUGUUCCCCCUCUCAAGGAGGUUUUGGCUUCUGAGGUUGUUUGUUCUACAUCUGGUAAAACGAAGAAGUGCUCAAAUGCAUAUAAUAAAAGAAAAUCUGACAAAAUUUUAAAGCUUUUGUUGAUUGUGUUCAUAUGCAUAUAAAAUAAAAAAAAAAUCUGGCAAAUUACUCCUUUGUGUGCUAAUAAUAUUCAUAUGUAUCUGAACCUUGAGUAACAAAGUUGGUGCCUGCAAAAGUGAGUGAUGGAGCAAGAAUGCCUAGGCAAUGACGGAGUAAAGCUAGGAAGGACGUAGUAGAAGAUCAUGUCUAAGGAAGAGUAGAGAUUGUCUCGCUAGAGGAUAGAUGAAUUGAUUGGUAUCAUUUAUUCAUAUGUAGAAAAGUUGACAUGAAGUGAUCGUAGGAGGGCAUUAUUUUAAUAUGAAAGCCUAAAGACUGUGGUAAGAUUGAAGGGUGGGACUUGAGGAAAACUGGAUGGCUAUUGAGAGGUGAUUCAAAACACCACCAUUAACUAGGCUUUACCCUGUGAUAAAAAUGAUUGAUGUCAUUUGUGAAGCCAACAAAUUAGAUAUGAUAAAGUUUAUAAAGUUUAGGCAGUAAAUAUCUGUGGUAAUUUCUGUCACAGUUGUUUCACUUGUUUAAUUCUUGUAGGUUUUUUUAUUUUUUGCCCUAUACAGAAGACUCUCAGCUAUCUGCUUCCUUGUGCAAUAAGUAUGUCUGCUUGCAAAAAUGUUAUUGAAGUCUCAAAUAAUCUGUUUUAUUCACAUAAUCUGCCUGUAACUGAUUUGAGUUUCAUGCAUCAGUUGUGGCGCAUAUGUAGGUUUCUAAUUUUCUAUUGGUUUUUGGUUUUUGGAGGUUUCUGAUUUACUACAUGUAAUUAUCUAUUGCUUGAAUUAAUGACUCUUGCAUUAAGUUCUCUUGAACUAAAUACAGACAGAUUUGACUUGACACAACAUUUUCUAAAUUUCUGACAUCAAGAAUUUUGGACUCAACCCAAUUAUGAAUUUGUUGUACUCAUAUUCUAUUCCAAUUAUUUUUAUAUCUCACGGAGACCCCUUUUUGACCAUUACAUUUGUGAGUUACUUUAGGGUGUUUUUGAACAACCCGAUAUGAAGGCCAUCAUUUGUCUCAAACAGUCCUUUUUGUCUACUCUAGCAUGCCAUAAGGGAUUGAGGAGCUAUUCAUCCCAGAUGGUACAUGCCAUGGGCUGCCGAACCGCGCGGUUCGGCCCAUACCGAGCCGAGCCGACCUGGUAGGGGACCGAGUCGGUUCACCUGUGGGGUCCCUGCUGGGUCAGUUCACCUGUGGGGUUGGAACCAAAUCCGAAUUGGUCGGAACCGGUCCCGAACCGCAUGGAAUCGGUCCGAACCGGCAGUUUGCACCGAUUCGUACCGGUUCUGAACCGGUUCUACCCCUAUCUCCUUUUCUUUUUAAACGAUGGGAUGUUGGGAAAGCCUAAGAACAUUCUUAGGCCUUCCUAACAUUCUCCUUCAAGCCCCCAUGCAUUGCGGCCAAAAACGUGAUGAUUCAAGAAGGAUCCAACCCAAAAUAAGGUAUACUUUCUUUUCCCUGCCUCAUUUUCUUCUUUUUUUCAAAGUCAAAAAAUGCCUCAAAAUUUGCAAACUGAGCAAAGAUCGUGCCAAAAUUUUUGAUUGUGGCAUGAUUUCAUGAUUUGUUAUAGAUAUAUAUGGAUGAUCUACAUAAUUCCACAAAAAAUUUUAAUUUUUGAAUUAUAUAAUUUUAAAAAUUAAAAAUAUAUAUUUUUUGAUUAAAAAUAAAAAAUAAAAUUCAAAAAAAGACUGUAACAUUAUAAGUGUAUUUACAUAUAGGAGACGGGCUCCUCGAGAUUAUUCAGGAGGUCAUAAUGCAGCUACAAAUGACUUCGCACAUGGAAUAGGAUUCAUAGACGUAUCAGCUUCCGAGUCAUAUACUGGUUUCUAUUGCUUACAACCACUGGCAGCCUAUGAUCCAUAUGGAUACAAAUAUAGAUAUGGUGCAUUUGAGAUAUCGUCUUUCGAUGGCUAUUAUCCUACGUAGUCCGCAGUAUCUUACGGGUCGGAUUUUGCUGCCGGCAUAUUCGGAUGGGCUCCUCCACAAUCAUAUUAUCAGCUAGAGGACACCUCUUAAAGCCAAAGCUUCAGCAAAAGAUCUGAGAGUGGUUAUAAGUUAGAACGCAUUCCUUAUGGGAUGGGCGUACAGGAUUACAAUGCCGCUUGGUUAAAGGGGUGGGUUGAGGUGCAUUCUGAUUAUGUUAAUGAUCCGGAUAUCUAUGAGAGGCAUUGCCACUCGACAAGAUUUUAGAUAUCGAUAUAUAUGUUGUACUUUAAAUAUAUGUAAUUGAUUGUAUAAUUUUAUAUUUUGUAUCUUACUAAUUGAUUUUAGGAUAUUUCAUAUUGCUUCUUGUAACAUACAACAUUAAUCAUUUUAUAUUUUGUAUCACUUAAAAACAACAAGAUGCAUUAUUUAAGUUAUAUUAGGAUUAUAGAAACAUCAAAUUAUACUUAAAAUCAUUGAAAAAAUUGAAAAAAAAAUUAAUUACCAAUAAAUCAAAUCUAAAAAGGCUUAAAAAAAUUUGGCAUGCACGCCACGACGUACUGUGUGUCGGUAUGGUACCGAACUAGUACUAUACCGAGCCGCCCGCCGAUCAGUACAGGUCUCGAAACCAAUUCAGCAGACCUUGGUGCAUACCAUAUGAACCACAAACAGGCAGUCAUCACUCUCUAACACCGGUAUAUGGGUGAACUGGAACAAUGCCACCCAAACCAACAGAUGCCUAACUAGCACCAGCCAGUGCGUGCUCAAUGCUACCCAUGUCUGUGUCAAUAUGGCAUGUACCACAUUACAUGUCCUACCAAUGGGUGGUCAGCAACAUAUUUUGAUUCCUGCAUAAACUAGUGCCUGGUUUUUUGCCCCGUCCAGAUCUCCUGGGUACAUGACUUGGUCUUUGACAGAUCACUUAAAGAUUGCUUUGCUCCUGGUUAGCACAUCCUGUUGAUCCCUUUCUCUAUAAAUUUUCUCUUUACACAUCAUGUCAUAUGAGUGGGUGGUCAGCACCAUAUUUAGAUCCUUCCAUAUCAUUUGUGCCUGGUUUUUUGACCCUACCAGAUCUCCUGGGUACAUGACUUGGUCUUUGAGAGAUCACUUAAAGAUUGCUUUGCUCUUGGUUAGCAUGUCCUAUUGUUCCCUUUCUCUAUAAAUUUUCUCUUUACACAUCUAAGUUUUCAGCAUAUUCAUAUGCUUGCAGCAAAGCACAUUGGUUGAAUAGUACUUCAUCUAGCUGAGAAAUUAAUCAAAGUCAUUCACCCUUUUGGUUACGCAAGGUCCAAUUAGUUCAGUCAAGUAAAAUUAAAACUUCAAAACAUCUUGUUUCCUUUCUCCGAAACUAUUCAGCUCAAUAUAAGUGGUCCCUUUUAGCAAACACGGACUAAUUUAUGUCAAAACUUAACUUAUCAUGCAUAAAAUUUCUCUACUGCAGUAAGACCUCCUAAAGGGCUGCUUGGGUUUCCCAACAAGCUGUCAUCCAUUUAUAAUUAAGCCCUACAUAUUUGCAUAAAGAAAGCAUAAUUUAGUUACACUUUAGAUAUAUAACAUGCUGUUUACCUUUUUGGUCUCUAAGAAGAGGAGUUGUGAGACCAUAUUGUUCUUUGAUCAUGUGCGUUCCACUUGAAUUUGUAGAGUGCCUUGGAUAUGUGACAGGUCAACAUGCUUCACUUAACAUGGGAAACUCCCUUUUGUUGGAGGACACAAUUGAUGUCUUUUUUUAUGGUGACAGCACAAUUGAUGUCUUUAGGGAGCAAACUUUUUACCACUUUGGUAGCUUUAACCUUAUUUUGAGCUUGAGCUCUCAUUAUAUGAUUGCCAAAUUAAAGUUAUUUCCUGAUUGUUUUAUCAAUUCUGUCCAAACAACAUUUGUUUGCUGGACAUUCUCUAAUAUUUCACUGUACACUUGCUUGCUUUGGCUGGUGUUCUGUUAUCGUAAUUUUCUCAAAUAUAUCCAGCCAAUGCAAACUGAGGUAGCUCAAGUUGUCCAAGCCCAGUAAGAAACCUAGAUUUCUUUUCUUUAAUAAAAUUAUAGUACUCCUAGAAAGCAAACCCUUCAAUUGGGAUGUGUCAGGAAUCUCUCAGAGACUAUUCGGAUAUACUUCUCCCUUGCCCAGCUUCAUGUGCUACAUUGUUUCACUUCUUUACAUGUUUACUUUAAUGAAUCUCAGCUGGCUGUACCCUAUUCAUCAAGGUUUUCCCACGAGUCUGUUGAACACAAACUAAGGUGUUGUAAUAUUGCGGUUCUGCCUGCUUAACAAAAGGUUUUUCUGUAGGUAAAUUAUAUAGGAUUUUUUUCUUUUUUCAUAUGCCAACUAGCUAUAGACAUUUCUUGUGAGGACCCGUGCAGGCGUGUAUUUAGUCCCACAUCGGUUAUUCGCUGAGUAGAUUUUGGAUACUUAUACAGGAUCAAGGAACCCAAAUAAUACCUUCCGUCUAGCCAUUUUGGGUGAGGUCUUGCAUUGUUAUAAAUGGUAUCAGAGCAUACCCGACCCAUAACCUAUGUGGAUUAGGGGACACUGCAACAUAGAUCUAUAGGGGUUGAUUACGAACCGAUCAUGGUGUUUAUGAUUAGAUUUGAAUGGAUUUGAACACUUAACCUGAUCUAGCUAUUUUGGGUGAGGUCUUGAAUUGUUAUAAAUGGUAUCAGAGCGAACCCGACUAUAACCUAUGUGGAUUAGGGGACACUGCAACGCAGAUCUAUUGGGGUUGAUCACGAACCGAUUAUGGCGUUUAUGAUUAGAUUUGAAUGGAUUUGAACACUUAGCCUGACGAAGACGUCAGAGCUUGAAUGGGGGGAGUAUGUGAGGACCCGUGCGGACGUGUGUUUAGCCCCACAUCGGUUAUUUAUUGGCUAAAUUUUGGGUACUUAUACAGGAUCAAGAAAUUCAAAUAAUACCUUCUGGCUAGCUAUUUUGGGUGAGGUCCUGAGUUGUUACAUUUCUGUUCAUUUAUGUACUCCUUUCUCAAUCAUAUAUGAUCACAUGAUUAAACCAAGUCUAGUUAGAUCCAGUAAAACUAAGUCUAGUUAGAUCCAGUAAAACCAAGCCCAGUUAUAUUUAGUCCUGACACUAACAUUGCCAUGUGGACAUGGCCAUUGCCUUAUUUUGGACUUCAGCUGCACCUUAUAGUUCUUGCUAAUUUUUUGUCAAGCAAGAAAGCUUUCAGUUUGACACGAAAAAUUCAGAUCAUACUUCAUAACCUACACUUCUGCUAAAUCUACUGUAGAAUCGGCUUAUGCAGGUUUCUGGAUGCUAAUGAAUAUACUCACUUGAUUGCCGAACAGGUCUGCUGCAGCUGACAGCUAUUGCAAACUCCUAACAGUGAAUGCUACAUUAACACUUUGUCCUUGUUCUAGCAGUAAGAAGAUCUUGUGGGUUACUAACCAGGCUUCAUAACUCUGAAGUGCCAAAAGGUGCAGCUGACCUUGUUAUUGGAUUUCAUCUGUCAUUUGUACGACAUACUUAACGUUACAGGUACUUCUGGACCCACAGGUCAUUUAAGUAAAUGACAUUCUUGAUUGUGGUAGAUUGAGCAAACCAAACAUGCUAAGUUGGUUAGGCUGAGUUGAAGCUUGAGAAAAGGAGAAAGUUGGUGACAGAUCUAGAAUUCUUAAAAGCUAUCCAAGAUGAUACUACAUGUCAUUGAAAAUGAAAAUUUUUGUCCUGCAAGUCUUAAGUGCAAACAAGAAAGCCUAGAGCCGCUCCUCAUUUAUGCCUGUUGUCACUGAUUGAGGAGUAAGAAUGAAGAAAUAAUGAUGACUUGUUAGGAAAUCAAACCUUAUUUGUGGUGUUCAAGUCUUGAACCGCAUCCAAAGAAGCCUGGACGCCUUCUCAUUCACAUCUGCAGCCUCCUUGAUGGACUCUGAUGAGCAAAACUUGAUACAGGAUUCAGGAUCUUUUUAUGUGUGGUCAUCGGCUGUUCAAAACAAAGUACUGAGCUACCAAAACUAAUCUCUGAGUCAGAUAUUUAAAUAGAUUUCUCGUCCCAUUGUUGUGUCUUUGUUAUUGUUGCUGGUAUCAUUGUUUAGCUACAAAAGUUUAAAGAAGUGAAGUGUCCUCCCUUAUCAUAUGAGGGUGACUACUUAACCAACGCCUUUUCUCUGUGGCAUGUUGCUGGUGGGGACAACCUAAACCUCCUCUCUUUUUCAUCGGAGAGGGUAUGCUUUUGUUUGUUGUUGCUCUUCCAUUCAGAUGACAGUUUUGUUGCGCCUACUUUGCUUUUUUCUUCCUUUAUUUUCUAGGACUUGGUAAAUGCACUCACUCCCUUUGCUGGCCGAUGCGCUCCUCUAUUGCCCCAGACAGUGACAAUGUUCUUAUUACAAAAUUCUAAUUAUUUGUGCUUCUUUUAUAUGGCCAGAUGACUUGAAAGUUUUAGGUUGUUUUAUGGUUUAUUCAUGAACUAUUUUGGUGACUAAUUCGAGUAACUCCUUAUGGAUUACAGAGCACUGAUGUCAUUUGUUUGCCAGCAGUAGUGAAUGUUUAUUAUUCUUGUCUCUCAUGCUUUUCAUUUAUAUAUAAAUAAUACAAUAAUCUAUUGUUGUUGUUAUAUAAUUAAGUUUUUAUCUUUUAGAAGUUAUUCAUUUUUUUAAAAAAAUUCUGGCAAUUUUUGGGUUCUAAUUCUCCGCAACAAGUCCAAUAAUUACUGAAUGCUGAACCUAUGAUUUGCUUUAGAGAAUAGUUGCGAACAUAAGAUGGAGGGAAAUGAUUCUAUCAAUCUCUCUUUGCUUUUUCUGGUGGGAUUGUGCGUGCGGUACUGUAAAGAGUCCUCAGACUCCAAUGCGAGCGGGUAUGAGUGCUUGUGAGCGGAGAAAGGGAGUGAUAUCUUUGGCCGGUUUGCAUUUUUGUUUGAUGAAACUUCUCUUUUAGCCUCGAAGUGGCUGUUAAAAUCUCCAAAGGAGCAUGACCUUGAAACACUCAGCCAGCCUUUUUCCAUCUGAGCUUGACACAAAAAUAAAGGCUUGCGGCAUGUGUGCAUUAAGCACAGGUCUCUGCCUCCCAUGAGUGUGUGUGUGUGUGUGCGUGUGUGUGUGUGUGUGUGUGCAAGUGAAAGAGAGAGAUAGAUUUCUUUUGGGAAGCAUGUCUCAUAUCUAAUAAACAAGAUAUAUAGCAAGUAGACCUGAUCCAAAGAGUUCAGAGUAUGAGACUAAUCCAUUCAAAUCUGGUUGCAGCUGCGGAAAUCGCACUUAGUAAUUGGUCAAAGUAAUUCCCGUAACAACGAAGGAAAAAAAAAAGAAAAAGGAAUUCCUUGUUGACAUAGGAGGCCCAAAGCACAUUUGAUUGGAGUUAUGUACUUGGAAAGCUUAUCUACUCUUUAAUAUGUAGGCUCAAAAGAACCAUUGGUUAGUUGUGGAGAAGGAAUGACAUUUUUUUUAAUCGAUAAUUAAGUGGAAGUGGAGAGAACGUGAGCUCUUUUGCCAGUCAUUUUACUGGAGUUAUAAAAAGAAAUAAUUUAACACACUCUUACGCAUGGAUGGGCAUCAUAGGCACGUUAGGGGCAGCAGAGGUGUGUCAUCAGACCCCAUACGAUCCGAUCUCUGACCUAGAUCCCAUUGUUUGCUGAUACAACUAUUAAAAGAAAGAGGAAAGAGAGAAUGUAAUUCAAAAAGGAUAAAGAUAUAACUAAAUGAAAUUAUAAUGAUAGAUUCCACUCUUCUUCUUUCUGGUAGGUGCAUUACCUCAAUCCCUCAUUAUUCUAAGCAAUUGUCUGGACUUCAGGUAGAGAGAGAGAGAGAGGUAGUGUUGUCCUAUAUUAAUUUAAGAAGGGAGUAGUAUAUUAGCCCCUUGAUAAAGUAGGAAGAAUUGCAUGGAGACAGGUGCUUCAGCUUGGUCGCAUAUGGCUGAAAACCACCUCAGCAUGGGAGGAAAUUAGUUGUCUGCACUUGCAAUUUCUCCCACAAAGGAUGUAAAUUUCCCACAACUUGCCAAGAGAAAAAUUUAGGAAAGAGAAGAAAAGCUCCACCAACUUCUGCCCCUUAGAGUGUUGUGAGACUGGAGUCCAGCUGAUGCCCACAUGGUGGAGGGGUUGGUUUGGUUCCCCUCCCUUCCAUCUCCUCCUCCCCCCCUCAGGGAUUCACUUUUUUUGCAUUGUCUGCUAUAGUACAUGAAAGGUGCUUGGAGGGACUCCCAACAGCUACAACAUACUGAGAAAGAGAGGCAUCCAGUAUAUCCCUUUCUUCAACUAUUUGAGACUAGUGGAUGAACAAAAGGCUUCUCUGUUCGGGAGCUGAUAAUAUAGUGUAAAGAACCCAUUCUAAAAAGCCAUAUCUUGAAGGGCAUUGUUGGGCAUGGCCAUGAUAUGUAUGAAACUGGCAUAAAUGUGGGCAGGCGCCAUGUAGGAGGUUUUCUCUAUGUUUUGGAUGGAUUUAGUCCAUUGUAAGGUUUGAGCAUUUCUCACCUGGACUGAACAUAAGUUCAGCAUCAAUACCAUCAUUGCCAUAGUUCCUGGAGAGAGAGACGGAAGCAGACAACAUCACAUGGGAGCUAAAUCAGUGAGGAUUUGUGGGGUUGGGAGGUGGGAGAUCCAGCUUCAUAAUAACUUGGAAAGGAGCAGCAUACUGCAGCAUCUCCAUUAGCCUCUUAGUUUAUGCUCUGAUAUACAAUUGUCCAAGGAAGGCUAGUAAAAUGCAAGUGUGUCUGCACACUUAAGGAAGAUUUUACCUUAAGGUUGAAACUCAUGAGGAAGCCAAAAAAAAAAGAGGUUUUUUUCUUCUUCUUUUGAGUGUACAAAAUAGGUUCAGUUUUUCAAGGAUCCAAGUCAUCAUAUUGGAACUAGUUGGAGAUUGAUAAGGGUAGAAUGGACAUGAGAUGGGUUGUAGUAGUACCAGUGAAUGGUGAUAUGAGAGCUUGGUUGGUAGAGGAGAGAGAAACCAAUCAUGCAAGCAAUUUGAUUGUACCCCUUGGUAGUGGGCCUCCCACCUCUCUGCUUUCUAUUUCAGCCCUGACCAAGACAUUGCCUUCACAAAUGACAAUUGAAUGCUGUCAUUGACGGUGUGCUUCGGCGAGGCAGCCAUGUGGCUCCACAUAGAGAGAUCUUAUCAUUAAGACAUUAAUUAUGUUUCUAAUUGGUAUAAUAAAUUAGUGAAGUGGUUCCCUUCUAGUGUUCCUUCUUCCUUUUCAAAUUUUCAUAAGCCCUAUCCUGUUUUUGUCCUACUGGUGGGCACAGUUCAGCCUAGUAGAAUUCAUGAGGAACACUUGGCUGAAAUACUGAUAAACAGAUAACCAAGCAUCUCGAAUCUUUGAUCACCUUAGUAAACUACAUUGUCAUGCAUCAUAAAUAUUGUAAAUUAAGCAUCCUAUCUUGUCCUACUGGUGGCAUCAUUUCGGCAUAAAAGACAUAGAGGACCACUUGAAGGAAAUCUUGAUAAAUAGAUACCAUUAAUCUUUUCUUGUUUUUCGGAGAGCGAAAAACUUCAAAAAUCUUGAGUACCUGAUGAUAUUACAGCACUGUAGAUCAUAAAUAUUAUGAACUGACUUAAGCUUAGAACCCCUAAGGACCAACUUAUGGAGGUCAUAACAUGAUUCAAGGAAAUAACUGGUUCUGCUGUGGAGCAGUUUGGCCAUUUCAGGUAGAUCUCGCUGAGGUUUUGGAGCAACAUCCACCCUAUCCAAGAUUAAAUUAUGAAGAGUAAGGAUAUAACUUUCUUAUAUGAUAUCCAUUUUCAGCAUUCUAAGCAUCAAAAUAAAGCUCUUGACUAGUAAUAUAAGAGUGGUUUCUACGGUGUUUGAGAGCAUGAAAUAGGAAGAGAUCAAAAUAACUUUCUUUCUUGGUUAAAUUAUUGAUUGGGCAUACCUUCUAAUGUAGAAGGAAUUAGAUGGCACAGCCACUGAAAAAGUUGAUAUAAGCAUCAAAAUCUAACUCCCAUAUGAGUUUCACUUUAGUAUAAUUUCCUUCCUAUUUCUAGAAAACUUUUACAUUUUUUUAAUUGAAAAAAAGGCAUCCAACCUAGAUCUAGGAUAUGGACCAUAUUAAUAUAAAUAAAGGUGUUCUAAUUCGAUUUUGUCAUCAAUUAAGAAAAGGUAAAAACCAUACUCUCAUUUUUUUUUCUUUUAUGUCUAUUAUUUUCUGUGAGAGAUCCGAUUUAAAAUGAAUGAAAUAAAUGCUUCUGGUCAUAAAUGAGUAGAUGCUAAAGCAUCAAUUAUCUCCAAUUAACUUUCUAGGCUAUGAAUUGAUAGAAUAUAAAUAUAAUAAAAUACAUUAUAUGUCAUAUUUAACGUUCAAACACAAGAGAAUGCAAAACAGUAAGAAUAUCACAAUGUGAAUGUAUUUCUUCUUCUUUUCCUUUACCUUCCUUCACCUUCUUUGAUGGUUAGCAGUCCUCCAAAGAUAGAAGCAACUUUAAUAGUAUAUCAGUAUAUGAUUGACGGAGGUGAAGCUCGUUGCCUAGAGUGGGUCCUCGAUGUUAGAUACUUGUAAGAAGCCAAAAUUUCAAAAUCUGAAAUUAAUAACACUGAUUGAAAUAAACGCUCCAGAGACAGUAAUUUGCCUGUAUGGGUCGCCAAAUUUUGGAUUUUGUGGUUUCACAAUAAUGCAUUGCUUGUCUGGAUAGGGUUCAUAGAAUUAGGAAUUAAUAUUUAGUAAAAUUUGGAUUAAUUUCACUAAGAAUGUUUCCUCAAGCCUGUGCUGCUUUCGUAAUCAAUGUAACAACCCAAAACCUCAUCCAAAAUGGUUAGCCGGAAGGUUUUAUUUGGAUUCCUUGAUUCUUUAUAAGUACCUAAGAUCUAUCCAACGAAAUAAACAAUGUGGGACUAAACAUACGCCCGCACGGGUCCUUAUAUACUCCUCCAUUUAAGCCUUGACAUUUUCGUCAAGUCAAGGGUUUAAAUCCAUUCAACUCUAAUCACAGACACCACAAUCGGCCUAUGGUCAGCUCCAGUAGAUCAUUGCUACAGUGUCUCCUAGUCCAUGUAGGUUAUGGGCCGAGUCCACUGUGAUACUAUUGGUAACAAUCCAAGUCUUCACUCAAAAUGACUAGUCGGAAGGUUUUAUUAGGUUUCCUUAACCCUAUAUAAAUAUCUAUGAUCUAUCCAGCGAAUAAUCGAUGUGAGACUAAACAUACGCCCGCACAGUCCUUACAAUUAAGGUGAGAAACUUUCUAUUACCCAAAAAAACAGAGGUGUAAUAAAGGAUUCUUAUCUUAGCUUCACUUAGGAUGUGUCCUCAUCAGGUGAAAGGCCCAGAUAAAGAAAUGACGCAUUGUAAAAGCGUCAAUUUAUUAAUGAACCAGCCCCUGGACAAUCGAUGGGGCAUCUUGGAGCAACUCAUCCAAGUUUUUUAUUAAGCAACUUAUAUACAGUCUUGUUUAAAAUUUUAUAUUGCACCAUGAUUUAGAAUAAUGUCAGGUAGCAAGUGACAAUUUGCUAAUCAAACUUGGCUGGCCCUAUAAGAAUCAUGGAGUUGGUUUCUUGAUUAGGUUAUGCGUGAAGACGACACCAACUACCAAUUAAGAAUUCAUGCAACAAAUGUCACAGGGUUCGAAUAAUGAAUACCAUAGAGGAAUCUCUGCAAAACGUAACUCCCAUAGUAUUAUUUUUGGGAAAGUGCUGCAAGUUAAGAUAUGAUACUGCCUAUAAAGCUUGAUUGACGGACUCCCAUUUGGUCGCGACAAUGUGAUUAGGAAUGGUCCAUUUGCUUAUGACUGAGUCCAAACAAUCAUGUUGAUGCUAUUGUAUUUUAGUAAACUUGAUUAAUAUGAUAAUCAUGAUAGCACAAAGAAUUUUUGUUUCAACUCAGAUUUUUUGAAAAAAAAAUUGUGAAGGCAAUUCACCUGCACUGCUAUUAUCUAGGUGCAGAUUUUUAGAGAUACGCCAUCUAAAACUUGAAUCUAGAAUCUUUGGUUACUAAAAAAAAAAGAUAUCGUCUGUGAGAAUUCGUGUGGAUAUGUGUUUAGUCCUACAUCAGCUAUGUAUUAGGUAAAUUUUAGGUACUUAUACAGAGCUGAAAAACAUAAAUAAUACUUUUUUUGAUGAGGUUCUGAAUUAUCACAUCAUUACUAGGACAAUCUCCAUGGCACUAGGUUCAGCUCGGACUUGAUGUAUAAUCAUGCAUUAGCCACAAAGCUAAAAAAAAAAUGCACUAGAAAAUAAGAAAAAAAAGUUCUCACCUCACAGAAGCACUUAUCAUCUAAUAACUUUCAGUUAGAUUGUUCAUUUUAUACCUUCUUUAUCUUUGAUUAAGAUUUUGUUCCAACUGUUGGCAAGGAUAUGGGACCCAACUUGUCCAAAGAAAUAGACCUGUCAAUAAAUGCAAUGUUUUGUAUCACAACUUGCUAGCUGGAUGGAUGUAACAUUUGAUGAUUUGACUCAUAUUUGAGUAUAAUUAAAAAAAUAUAUUAAGAUUUGAUUUGUUGGUCAAAAGUUACACUUAUAAUUGCAAGUAGAACCUUAGGAAACCGUAAAUACAACGAUUUCACAGUUUUACAGUAAGUGGUCAUGUCAUGGGUCCAUUAUGGCCUGUUGGUCCAUUGACAUGUUGGACAAUAUCAGAACUAUUUGGUUACAUCGCACCGAACAAUAGGCACCCAUGAAGAGCUCCGGAGCUACAGACACCAAUGGAAAGUUUGGCAAAACCAGCUUGAGCCAAACUACGAAAGUUAUACGUACUUAUUUGCUACUACGAUUAAUUAAAUUUAUCUAAGGUCAAAUCAGAACAAUUUCAUCAAGAUAAUUCGAACCCACACCUCUUUCUAUAUAUAGAGGAGGGUGCAAUCAUGAGGCUAUAGAUUAAUAUUAUUUUUCUAAAAUAUAUUUUUUUGGGUACAAUGGCAACUUAUACACAACGGAUGUGAGUGCAGUCCAUAAAAUUAAAGAGAAUAAGAGAAUACAAGGACGCCAGGACUAAAAAAUGGUUAUCCCAAAGAAAACCUCCAAUGUUGAGCCGCAAAGAAAGCCACCCAAUCAGCCACACUGUUCGUCUUUCUAUAGGCAUGAGUGGCUCGAUAGAAGGCGCACUUAUCCAAGAGUCGACGGAUGUCAUGAAUCAAUCACAUUCCACCGGCUGCACCGUCGAAUCCUAAAUCCACUCGAACGCCACCUGAAUCCUAAAUUAUUUUUGAAAGCAAACGUAUACGCUCAUUAUAUGUCCUUACACCAAUCCAAUAAAUGCCAUUUUGAAUAUUUAAAUUUAAGCUUAUACGAGUGAUAUUAUGAAAUAUGUCAUCACUGUGUUCUAAUUAAUGAGGGCGACAGUGAAUGUUGAUGACAUGUGCAUGUCCCGAGCCAACAUGUUAGGUCAAGAAUGGACUCGUAGGCUAAUGGUUGCGCGAGGUACCUUGGUCGAUGAGACUGUGUCUGAGAAAAUAAGGAGCAAUAAAAGGACUACUACAAAUGAACAUACGCGGUUACUGAUGCUUGCGCUCUUAUGUGUUGAUGCGAUUAGGCAUGCUUGGGUUUGUGGGAACCCACAUAGGCUUGUGUUUGAUUCCAUGUCCAAUAUGCGUCGAACAUCUAUAGUACUUCAGGAGGGAUGAGGACAUGAAUCAACAACUUUCUAGCUGGUCCUUUUUGGAUGAUAUUUUGGUUGUUAUAGAUGAUACCAAAAUCGAUCAGCCUAUCACUCGUAUAGCCGCACAAAUUCUUUAAAGAUUGACUAUAAGGUGAUCAUGGUGUUAAUGGCUGAACUCUUUUGCCAGAAUAAUAGAGCAUAUAAGAACUUUUAUGAGCUUGUAUUUGGUUCCACAUUAGGUAUAUGUCGAGAAUGUCCUAGAUAGUUAAUAAGGCUAAGAAUUCCAACUAAUAACCAAAGCUUAAACAAAAAGAGUAUAUAAAAAUCUGCACAAGCAUGUAUUUACUUUCAUAUUGAUUAUGUAGUGGGAAGAUAUUGGAUAUUUAAACAAAACCAAUAACCCUGGUUAAUAAUCUUUAGAUUAACUCCUUUUGCAUUAGGUUUUAUAACUUUUUGAUUAACUCUUUUUAGAUGAGAUUCUAGGUCAUUAUAACUAACUAAUAACCUUCUGACUAGCUCUCUUAGGAUAGUUCCAAGCCAUGGUGGUCUGUUUUUGAUAAAUAUCACUUUAGUAUGACCUCAAACAACUUCCAAAGUAUACCUCAAUAAAAUUCUGAUGGUGUCCUCCUUGAUGAGGAACUCUAAUGAAAGUAACUCGGCGGUCGAUCCUCAUGCAUGCAAAUACCCAAAUAAGAACAGUCUAGUUUGGAUCACAUGUCCAGCCUAGUCCUUUGGUUGCAAAAGGUUUAGUUGAGUACUAUGUGUGCAUAGGUCAAAAGAAGGGUUACAUGGUUUAGGUUCCCUCGUAUACAUUUGCAGGAAUGCACAUACAAUGGAGUGAUAUCCAAUGAAACAUAUUGGAGUAUGUGAAGCAAAAUCAGCAUUCACAAAUCACAAUGGAAGUCACAGCAUGAUUUGCAUGAAUAAACCACAAACGUACAACAUUAGCAAUCAAAAGAAAAUUUCAUUAAGAGAAACAUUUGGCCGAUAAAGUCACCAAUGUUUAGCCAGAAAAAGGAAACGUCCCCAAAUCGUCUUAAAAUCAUCCGAGUUAAGACCUUAACUCCAUAAAAAAAGGGACAUUCAGGAUGAAUUUCGUGAGUGUGUGUGUGUGUGUGUUGAGAUGGGGAGAAUCUAAAGUAGGUUUCUGUGUCGUUUCAUGCUCCAUUCAAAUUGUGAUUGUUAUGGAUUGUUUAGAUCUGUUGGAAAGCCUUCCUUAAACUUUAUUUUUCAUUUUUUUUCACCUUUCGCAUCUAUAUGUGUGUUGUGUUAAAAUUAAUAAAGUUUAUUUUUUAGAAUAAUUUGGAUACAUGUUAAUCUAGAUUCAUGUAAGGAUGGUUAAUGUAUUUAUGUACUUAGCCAUCUUUACAUCUUUCUAUAAUGGCUGUUCAUUUUUCUAUGCAAUAUUAGGCCCCAUUUGGCAAAGCUAUUAGCGGUAGAGCUUUCGAAAGUUUUAUAAAAAGUUAUUUAUUGUUUGGUAACUACGUUUCUAAAGUGCUGUGAGACUUUAAUAUGUAUUUGGUAAAUAAAUUGAAAAAAUACUUUUGGGAUAACAAAAUGACCAUAAAGAAUUUUGCAUAGUAUUAUACAACAGAGCAUAAUAAAAUAUAAUAUAUAUUAAAAUAUAAAUAUAUAAUAUAGUACAAUAUUACUGUAAUAUAAUAUAAUAUUAUUAUAAUAUAGUAAUAUAACAUUGUAUACUAUAGCAUAAUAAUAUAACAUAAUUUGAGAUUAUAUAACAUAAUAUAUUAAUGUAUUAUGAUAUGAUAUAAUAUUUUAUUAUAUUUAUAGUAUAAUACAAUAAUAAAGAUAUAUAAUAUUAUAACUUUUAUCAUUAUAUAUUAUUAUUAUUAUUAUUUUAUAAUUAUUAUAUUUUAUUAUGGUUAUUUUGAUCCAAAAAGAAAAAAAUUUAUAACUCCAAAUAGCUUCUCAAUGGAGGCUAAAAGUGCUUUUCCAGAGAUGCUUCAAAAUACCCCGAAAAAGCUUCUUCCAAAAAGCUGUUAAGCUUUCCGGUAAAGUUAAAACAGCUUUCCAAUUUUUUUACCAAAUACUUCUAUUCCAUCUAAAAGUACUUUUGGAUUCUCUAAAAGCUUUACUAAAUGGGACAUUGGUUAUAUAUAAUUAAUACGGAUGCAGGUACAGGUACCAGAAGUCUCAAUAAAGUCUAUAAAAUAUUUUUUAUUUGUUACAUGUUGUACCAAGUUCGGACAUAAGCCUUUUGGAUAAGUAGCGCUGUAAGUGUUCAUCAAUUUUAGAUGUCCAGAAACAACUGCAGACAUAUGCUAUUACAAGAAAAGAGACAUGAUUGAGAUACAUUGUGUUAAUACCCAUGAACACUGACAGGCAUUAAUCGAUGCCACGCUUCAUUGCACGAGACUCUAACUACGACCAAUUAGAGUAAAAACGACCAUGACACAAAAGUGGCUUUAGAUUCAAAAGUGGCUUUAGAUGCAAAAGUGGCCUUAGAUUCUUUUCAUCAUACCUAGUAGCCGUCUCUGUCAAACACAACCAAAGAUGUAGUUGAAUGCAGUGGGUGAAUAGGUGUCAGACCAGAGAUCCGUUGGAGGUGCGAUUGGGGACUACCAAAGGACCCCCACCCACAAUAUAAGCCAAGUCGGGGAAGGAUCCCCACCCUCCGCAAGGUCACAACAGUGGACAUAAGUAUUAGCGUUGGCCGCUGGCGUUGGAGGAACAGUGUUAUGGCGAACAGUAGACUGUCCUGUUUCUGAGAGUGUCUCAGGCAACUUGCCAUCCUCUGCUGUCGUGUGACCCACUUUGGAUUCACCAUCUACUCCUUCCCAGAGUUUUUACAACAUGGGCAUGGAUUCAUGGACAAAGACUUAAAAAAUUUGAAAUCUCAAGUGAUGGGGCCAAGAAGAUUAGCUUCUAAUUUAAGACAUCAAUUUUAGCAUUAUUUGCUAAAAUAUUUUUAAAACAAGAUUCAGAAACCUUGAAUCAUAUAUUAUUUUAUCGCGACCGGUGCUGUGCUCCAAAUCAAGAUAGCCCCAUUAGGUCUUGGGGCGGCCUUCGAGCAUGCUCGGCUUUGACCCAAAUACCAAAUUAGUGUCCAAGCUGCUUACCAAGUUGGUUAGGUCAUCUGGACUCUCUCAUUUAUAUCCAUUUGAGUCAGUGAUAUCUAGUGAUGGAGGUAUUGAGUAUGUUUAUCCAGAUUGAACGACUGCAUUUGGUAAUUUAAACAUUGACAUCUGAUUAUUGGCAAGUAAAAAAGAGUUACCUCAUAAUUCGUAAGACGAUUGCGGUGCUACGACUCAUGAUCUGCAGAAGCAAGUGGAUAAUAUCCACCCUACAGUCUACAUGGCGUGUCUCAUGGCAAGCUACAAAAUCAGGUACAUGUAUCCACAAGUUAAAACCAUGUCCUAUGAGGCCCAGGACUAAUUCCAAACAUGAUCGACGGGAUUUUCGUCCAUCCUUCUCAUUCCUUCAAAGGAGGAAGCACGGAACAGCCACUGUGGUUGCUUCCCCUCGUCCCCUCUCUCAGAAGCAGUAAAACCCCAUGCAGCCAUGGAGAAAUUCCAACAUACAUGUAUUCCACUUUACACCUCACACUGUUCCCACGUGCGAAGGCAGGGGCACGUGAGCACUUGGGGAGAAGGGGGUCACCACUCGUCACUCCCAUGUGAGGGACUCUGACACCUUAAGUACCAUCCCUGUUCUUAAAGAGGAGUAGUCCCCCUCAGGCCACCCCAACUUCCCACGAGACAAUACCAUCCCAAAGGGCGAGCCCACACUGCAUGCAUGCGAGGUGGAAACUAGCUCCGGCCUCACGCCCCAGAGUGAGUGGUAAAAGCUGGGGACCAGAGAUUUGAGAGGAGGGGAAGGGAAAAAGCAAAGAAAGCAAGGAGGAGGAGGAGUAUUUCCUUCAAAGGGAAAUCAUUUGCCUAUGACUCAAAAAAGCUAUAUAGAUUUCAUGCGUCCAUUAUGGUGAUAUGGAAAAUUUGCGAUUGAGGGAGACACUGGAAACCCCAUCACUCAUCAACUCUUGCGUGCGGAGCUUCAUGGGUAAAUAAUUGACAGGAGAUGGAUCGGAAAAGCCAAGCUGAAACCAGAACUAACUAAAUUAAGUUAGGGUGAGAACAAAUAGAAGAAAAUCCUAUUGUUUGAGAAAGAAACACAAGUAUCGGCGGUCCCCAGCCUACAGAGAUCUGAUAUUUCCUUUCAAAAUUGAAAGGUUUUUAGAAAAUUUUUCAGCAUUAGGUGUGAGGGCAUAACAUUGAGCUGCUAGUGAAUCGACUCAAUAUUUUAUCCUCUCUCUCUCUCUCUCUCUCUCUCUCCAUAACAUAGUAUUUUUUUUUAAAGUUAGAUCACAUACUGGCAUUCUCCCUUUUAAUUCAAUUAUAUAUAUAUAUAUAUAUAUGAUCGCAAUUGCAUAAGAGAAAAUCGAAAGUGCUGUACCCCCUACGCCUGCAGAUGCGAGAUACACACUACCACGUUAGUGCACGAUGAUCUAGGAAUAAUUGUGCAGCCGUAAGCAUCAUUAUGUUCUCGCUUUGGAGCAGGCUAAAUUGAGAAGAAAUAAGAGGGCUCCGUGUCAGUUUUAAAACUUUUCUUGGAUCGAGUUGUCAACAGAACUUCAGUCAACUGGCGAGCACCUCUAACCCCCAUCCUCACAUUGGAAUAAAGUUUUGUAUUUGAACUUAGAAGAUGGCGCUCUCAUACUAUUCUCAAUUUUUUUCGAGCACGCCGGUACUACAUGUUCUUUUGGAGACGUUAUAUAUUUAUAUUGUUAAUAUGAUAUAUAAUAUUGAUACAUUAUCUAUUAAAUUAUGAUAUAAUUAUUUAGUAAUCUGAGUAUUGUUAUGGGUUGAAUAAGGAAUAAAGGAGAAGAAAAGGAGCAUGACAACCAAAAACAGGGACGAUUAGAAGUUCAGGACAACAGACGAGAGAGAAGGGGACCCCAAAACCAAAUGAUGGUGCAGGGGAAAAGAGAAUUUGGCACUGGGGAAGGGUGUGUGCGUGGGGUUGUGAGAGAGACACAGAACAGAGGUAAGGUCUCGACUCUCUAAGCUUGGCCCAAAGCUCCGAGCUUCAGGGUUAUUUGAGUAGAUCCAGAACCCCUCCUGCACUCCCCGCCUUCUCUCCGGCAGCCAAAGAGCCCAGAAAAGAGAGAGAGAGACGCACAGAGAGAGGGCAACAGGGGCCAGAGGUAUAAGGUAGCAUAGAGAUAACUAGCUCUCUCUCAGCCAUGCAAGCGGUGGUGCGGCCGAAGAAAGGAGGUCGGCGGCUGUUUUGACCCGCAGCCUCCACCGCCGCCGCCGCCACCACCUCGGAAAAUGGAUUCGGCGAGGCAGCGGUCAGAGAGAAAGAGAAACAAAGGGAGGGAGCCUCCCAGCUAAAAAACAACUAGAAAGCAGCGAUUUUUUUUUUGCUUUUAAAAAAGAAAGAGAGCACUCUCACCUCUCCUCUCUUCCACCUGGUGGUAAAUAGAGCUCCUUCCUCUCUCUCUCUCUCUCUCNNNNNNNNNNNNNNNNNNNNCUCUCUCUCUCUCUCUCUCUCUCUCGCCCCCUUUCCUUCUUUAUUCCAAUACUCAAAAGAGCUUGUUUUCCUUUCUCUAAUCCUUGUUUUCUUCUUUCUUUCUACUGCAGUAGUUGGUUGUGUUGAAAAAGAAAAAAAGAGGGGGGGUGGAAGAGAAAGAAGAGGUAAAGAGGAGAGGCUCCAAGUCUCAUCUUUGCUCUGUUCUUGGAUCCUAUGGACGCCUACGAGGCGACAAGGAUCGUGUUCUCCCGGAUCCAGAGCCUGGACCCGGAGAACGCCGCCAAGAUCAUGGGACUCCUCUUGAUCCAAGACCACGGCGAGAAGGAAAUGAUACGCCUUGCCUUCGGCCCCGAGACCCUCGUCCACUCGGUCGUCCUCAAGGCCCGCAACGAGCUCGGCCUCGUCCCCGCCUCCUCCUCCACCGCAGCCGGCGGCGGCCCCACCUCCCCCUUCCUCCUCGGCCGGCAGAACUCCUCUUCUAGACUCCUCGGUGGCCUCGCCGUCAGUUCCCCCACGUCGUGGGCUCCGCCGCCGGUUUUCUCGAGGAGUAGUAGUGUGAACAACGUUAAUGGCGUGAGCGACGAUAUCCAGAGCCCGGACGAGCUCGUUAGCCCCAGCAACCAGGCGGCGGCGUCGCCGUUCUACGGCGGCGGGGAUCUCAUCAACGAGCUCCAGCUCCCGGACCAGCUUUCCUUCCUCAACGACGCCGCGUCUGCCGUCCAGGUCACUGCCCCCAGCCCCGCCCAUGGUCUCCAGAUCAGCCCCAAAGGUGGGGAUUUUUUCUACCCGGAUGUUGUCGGGGAGUGCCGGACCCCGAGCGGCGGCGCGGAGGGCAUGCUGUUACCUUACUCCAUUGGCGGCGGGGGUGGGUGGGGGGCGAACAGUGGCCACCACCGCCGGAGCUUCUCCGUCGCCGAUGCUUGCCUCGGGUCGGAGGCGGCCGGAGCAGGGUUUGGGUGGCGGCCUUGCCUCUACUAUGCAAGGGGGUACUGCAAGAACGGCGCGAGCUGCCGGUUCCUCCAUGGGGUCCCCGACGAUACCGCCGUCGCCUCCAUGGCGGCCGGUGGAGGCGGCAAGAUGGACCCCGUCGUCGAGCAACAGUGCCAAGAGCUUCUUCUGAGGUCCAAAACCCAGAGACUGGGCGGCGCCUCCCAGCUCAUGGCCUCCGCCUUCCCUUACUCCCCCACUGGAUCAGUGCCGGCCUCGCCUUCGUCCUCCAUCAAAUGCACCAACUUUCUUCUCCAGCAGCAGAACGAAAGCCAAAGGUAUGUCGUUGACAUGAAAACACAUCAACCAUCUCCAUUUCCAUCAUAUACAAUCAAUCUAAAAGCCUAGGGUAAUCGAAAUUCCCACAGGGCGGCGGCAGCGGCGGCGCUGAUGCUCGGCGGUGGCGACGAGACACAGAGGUUCAUGGGGCGGUCUCGGAUGGAAAGGACCGACUUUGCCGCGAUGUCGAACCCUGCGUCGCGGCAGAUCUACCUCACCUUCCCGGCCGACAGUACCUUCCGGGAAGAAGACGUUUCCAACUACUUCAGGUUGGUGUUCGACGGAAGUCCCCCAAGAAAAGGUGGGGAAGGAUCGAUCUAUUUUAGGCAUUCAGUCUCUACUUUCUCAGCUCUAACGCUGGAUUUGGUGUUGUUCCUUGGCGGAAUUGAAGCAUCUAUGGGCCAGUACAGGACGUGAGGAUACCGUACCAGCAGAAGCGGAUGUUUGGAUUUGUGACCUUCGUCUACCCGGAGACGGUGAAGCUGAUCCUCGCCAAGGGCAACCCCCACUUCGUCUGCGACGCGCGGGUCCUCGUCAAGCCCUACAAGGAGAAGGGCAAAGUCCCCGACAAGUACAGGCACUCCUCCUUUCCUCUCCCAAACUUCCACUUCUUUCUAAAUCCACCCCCAGCUUGUGUUGCCUUCCUUCGACUAUAAACUAUAAAUUCUAUUCUCAGAAAGCAGCAGCAGCAGCAGGCUGAGAGGGGGGAUUUCUCUGGGUGCGCUACUACUCCCACUGGCCUGGACUCCAGAGACCCCUUCGAACUGUCUCAACUUGGUGAGAAUCUUUUAUAUCGAUCCCAUUCCAGCCUCCUUUCGCUCUAUGUUAGCUUCAUUAGUAUAAUCCUACUAAAAUUUUCUCCGGCAGCGCCAAGGAUGUUGUACAGCUACAAUAGCAGCAGCCAAGAGACAAUUCUGAGGAGGAAGCUGGAAGAGCAGCAUCAGGCAGCGGAGCUCCAGCAAGCAAUCGAGCUCCAAGGGCGGCGAUUCCUGGGCCUCCAGCUCCUCGACCUCACGACCCGAAACCACAUCACUUCGACCGCCACCGCUGCCGCUGCUACCACCAUUUCAACACCCGCCAUUGUCCCUUCUCCUACUGAUGGAAAGACCAGCAGUAACCAGGAAGCAGCAGCAUCACAAGGUCAGUCAACUAACAGCCCUUUUAUUUCACCUUUAGUCUUCUUUAGAUUUAGUGAAUUGGAAUGAUAGUUAUGUUGGUGAAUUAAAGAGGAAUAUAAAAACCAUAUGUAUUACUUUCUGUUUACAGAUAAGAGCCUGAAUAGUUGUGCAGCAGUGGCAGAGCAGCAGCCGGGCAGCAGCCCCCACGGGGUUGCUCAUCAACCGGGAGUCAAUGCUGCUGCCGAUAAGGAGGAAUCAGCCGGAAAUCCACCCCACAAUGAAGAUGGUUGCUCCCAGGAAAGGUAAUUCCAUCGGAACUAUCACAAGAAGCCGACUGUCUACUCUCUUCCGCCAUUAAUUAAUUUCCAAGGGGAGGAGGCCAGCGUUUUGUUUGGUUGUGUUGUUAGUUUCUCCGUUAAUUUGGUUUUGUUCUUUUGUAAUCCUUUUGCGACCAAUGGCAGCAGCCUGGAGCACAACCUGCCAGAUAGCCCCUUCGCCUCGCCCAUCAAAGCUUCCUUCGCCGGCAACUCGUUCUCGAAUGCGUCAUCCGCCGAAGCAGACUUGGUCGCUGCUUCUCUCCCACAGAAUAACAGCAGUAAUCUUCUCAUGACCUCGUCGCUGUUCCCCGCCACUUCCACGCUCGACAUGGCCUCCUUCAAUUCAUGCUUCUUUCAAAUGCCUAGGUAUUACGGUUAUGACUCUAUACAGAUCUAACGAUUUAUGAAUAUAAGUUCAUUGCUUUGUUUUUUUCUUAUUUUGUUAUUUUCUUAGGUUCUCUUCUGAUCAUGGAGCUGUGGGGAUGUGAAUAGGUGAAAGAAAAGGUUGGUGGGAGGGAGUAUUUCCUCCCAGUCGAAGUUUAACAGCUGCUUGCACCUCAGCCUACAAUCGGCAGUCAGUAAUGAUUUAAGUUCAAGUGUCCGAAACCUCUGAUAAUUAUUCAUUAUUUUAUGUGGCAGGAUAGGAGCUGCAAACAAGGAAAAGAGGACAACAAAUUAGGCUCAUAGGUUACUCCCUUUUUUUUUUUUGGUCUUCCUUUUAAAUUUAGUCAUAGACAAGAAAAGGUCCCACACUCCAUCCCCUACCUCUAAACCAUAAAGCUUAGUGCUGCCGGAAGAAAGACGAAAGGGACAAGGUGAGGGAUGCGAUAUGAGGAAGGAGAAAGGAACGGCGAGGGCCAUAGCUAUCAUCAUCUUUUAUCAAUCAAUCAGUGCAGCGUACGGUACUGCUACUACUACUAGCCAUCUACUUACCACCAAAUACGUCAUGAUAGUUGCAUACGGAGUACAGAAACCGAAACAGAAGAAGAGAAAGAGAACAGACAGAAGCCAAACUGAUCUCAGAAAGGACAGCAAAUGUAAGCAAAAGGACCAAGGCACGGUGGAGAAGAGAGAAUCGAGAGGACCGUCGCCGCUGUGUCACCCAUCAUCCUCUCCCAUGCACCUCCACUUCCACCUCUCCCCCUCCCUCUCAUUGAGCUUUUUCCUUUUUCAUGUUAGUUUACUGUAGGAAGUGACAAGAAAAACCCAAAAAAGGGAAAGGAAACCGACAAAUAACUACUGCUCGUUUUACAUCUUGCUAUUUUUCGUGUUGGAUGCUACUUUUUAUUUUUUUUUUAAGGUGGAGGGACACUGGAAUUGGAUGCGCACGCAUGCACGUAGUCAGGGCAGCUUCCGUGUGGUGUGAAUCAUAAACAACUACGAACUCCAUAUAUGAUCUUACAUCCAAAUCAUUCUAGAUGCAGAAUUUGAAGGUGGAUUGAGGUUUGCCUCCCCUUUUUAACAUACGGAUUAUUGUAACGUUUUAAGAAAAAAUUUAAAGGUCGUUUGUCGUGCUUAGUCCACCAGUCCUAUGCGGCAGUUGAUGAUUGGUUAAAUCAUACUUAAACCUUGUUUUACCACUCAUUUAUCUACUGCACCGAUCCCCUGUUACUGGGUCCGGCGAACAGUGCGGUGACUGGAUGGGUGCUUCGCAGCACUACUCAUAUGCCAAACGCUGCUCUGAAUUCUAAUGGCUCAAGAGGUUAAUUAUUAUAUGUUAAAGAAUGGUAGAUAUAAAUUUAAACAUUAUGUUUCUAUAAUGGUUAUAUGACGAGAACGGCUGCAGUAUUAGAUGUUUAAAGUGUUAUGAAAGUACUUCUAAAACAUGUUUUUAUACUGAUUGAACCAAAAAAAAAAAUCUUUAUGUAUAUAAAAAUCCCGGACCAAAGCAGACCUGGACCUGGCAGAUAAGAUCGCUGCAUCAAUUAUAACAGUAAACAACGAUUCUGUGGAGGGGUGGUCCAUCAUUUGAGGCGAGAGUGGGCAUCAUCUCUAGUAAAUACAGAGGUUCAGUUCACUCACCCACCGUCCGAACUAAAGACCGUAACGGGUUGCUUCUUCCCAAGUUCCAUGCUAUAUAAGUUAGAAUAAAUGGCGAGGCAGUGGUUACCACCUCGCUGUCUCUCCUCUUCUCAACCUGUUCUUCUGCCUUCUUGAGAUUUGUCACGAAGUAGUCUCCUUUUCUGAGCUCGCUUUACUUUAACUGGAGGGUCACAUGGGUGCUCGCAUUCGGUUGCGGUCCCCUAGCUUUACUUCUUGUACACGAUGCAUCACCAUAAUUGAUUACUUGAUAAAAUUCCAAGGGAGCAGUGGCCUCUCUCUCUCUCUCUCUCUUUCUCUGGGGCUCUUUCAUCUAAACUUUAUUAUUUUUACCUCGCUUCUACUUACACUUCUCUCGUCCACCGGCCUAGGAGUGGCGUGGGUUUAAGUUCCAUUGCCUGAAGCUCACCGGCGUCUCUGCCCCGAUGCACGCGUUCUUUUCUCUUUCCUAGAAUCACGUGAUUUAUCCUAAUGCUUCUUCCGUUUUCUUAAUUAAUUUCUUAUAUGGCUAAAGUUCUUUCACUUUGCCGAGAAAAUGCGUGCUGUAGAUGUUAAUUGCAUGAGCUCAGGCAUGUCAUAUGGCCUUCCGGACAGGCUCUGUUUGUUGAUUUAUUAUGAAACUACUUAGAAUUAUUUCGAGGAGCAGAAGAACAGGGAUAAGUUCGGGCGUUUAUUAGAUGCUCGAUUACUGGAACCGCAGCACAUGUGAUGCGCAUGAUGGUCAAAGUAUUAUAUGAAUUCAAAACCAUGCAACAUUGGGAGAAUGCCCAUGUGGGACUCCCGACAUUAAGGUGAGUUAUAAUAAUCGAAAUUUCCAUUUGAUAGGUCAAGGCACAUUGGUCCAAAGAAAGGUUUAAACAUGUACAGAAUGCGUAUAUUAAUGGGGACGUUUAGGAGGAAGUUAAAUGAUUUGAGCUUUGAAAAGUUCUCAAGAUGAGCUGACUGUAGGUAGCGGGAUUAGGCAGCUUUCAAUUGGUUCUAUGAUUAAUGAAAGACUAUCGAGGGAACUUGUACCAACUCCAUAUCCAUCUGUUACCGUAUUGCUUUUUGGACUACAAGUGCACAUUUUGGCUCUGUUUGGGGGAGCUGUUAAUGGUAGAGCUUUUGGAAGUAGAGCCGUUGGAAGUAAAGCUGUCUGAAGCAGAACAUUUAUAAGAAGUUGUUUGCUAUUUGGUAACUACAUUUCUAAAGUGCUGUGGCACUUUAACAUAUGUUUGGUAAACAAACUGAGAAAGUACUUUUGUGUGACAAAAUGGCCAUAAAGGACAUUACCAGUAUUAUAUAACAAAGCAUAAUAAAAUAUAAUAUGUAUUAAUACAUAAAUAUAUGAUAUAGUAUAAUAUUAAUUUAAUAUAAUAUAAUAUUAUUAUAAUAUAGUACCGUAAUAUUAUGUAUUAUAAAAUAAUAAUUUAAUAUAAUAUUAAAUUAUUUAAUAUAACAUAUCAAUGUAUUAUGAUAUAAUGUAAUAUAAUAUUAUAUUUAUAGUUUAAUAUAAUAAUAAAUAUAUAAAAUAUUAUAAUUAUUAGUGUAAAUUAAUUUUUCAUCCUUCUAAUGACCAUUUAUCUCUCUAACAAAUAGAGAGAAACGAAGAAGAAUAUAGAGAGGGAAAGGGAGAAAGGAAGAGGCGGGAUAAGGGUUUUGGGGAAAAAAAUUGUAAUUUAAAUGAGAAUAUUUUGGUUCAAAAAACAGCUUUCCGAUAAAACUGAAAACAGCAUUUUCGGAAAGCUCCAAAUUGGAGCUUCUUCCUAAAAGCUAUUUUCAGCUUCCUGCAAAAGCUGAAACAGAUUUCCGAAAAUUUUACCAAACAUAAUUUUUUAUCUAAAAAGUAUUUUUGGAGGGUCAGAAAUGCUUUUUGGCGCUCCGAAAGCUCUCCUAAACAUGGCCGUAAAAGGAUCUCUCACUCGAGUUGUAGACGAAGCAACUGAGCUUAUAGGAUUGGGGAGUUGGUACUCGGAUUAGUGACUUCAAUUGUUGCCAUAAAUCCUGGUUCAUGAGCCAAAUAAAUGAGUCCAUUCCCAGCCUAAGACUACGCUUGACUUGCAGUGGCGAGUCAGCUACUCAUUUAUACGUUAAACCUCGCAUAUGCUUGAUCGUGGCUCAAUUUCUAGCCUAAGAGAAGAAAUUCAACCCAUCAAAAGGAAAGGAGCCCGUUUUGUGGAGCAAGGGUUUUAAUGGUCACACGGUACUCCUGUGGAGAUGCUGCUAACCUUGUUCUGUUUUCUUAUUUCACAUGGACGCGUGAGAGUACACAACGUAUCAGAAUUCUGGAGACAGAGACAUCUUCCAAUUCCCAGUUAGAUGAUGAGAAUGAAAGAGAUGGCUCCGCCACCUUUGUACGCUUGAUUUGAAAUGGCGUAAUGGAAAGCCACAUUUCAACCACAGCCCACAGGAAGCAGAAUGCCUACCCCGUUCCUGUUUCUUGAAAACUUGCUACAAUUUGGUAUGUGGUGGAUUCUCAUUGGUGGAUUCUUGUUGGCAGUGAAAUUUUCCCCCAAGCUUUACAUCUUUGCCUCGUUGCACGAUUUGAAAGCUAGAGGCUACAUGCAAGGUAGGUACUUAGUCUCUUCAGCUCGAUCGCCAGUGAUGUCCUACUCCUUGUCAGACAAGCUGUCUUUUAGUAUUCACAACUACAGAGAAAUUGUGAGGGUCCGGCCCAUUAACCGGCCCGCACACAGUUGGGCAAUGGGCCGGGCCAACAUGGUUGGCCUAAGCACCACCAUGCCCACGCACGAGGCAGCAAAGGGGAAUGAAGACACCGCGACCGUUGGAGGUGGUUGCAACAGCCUAACGGCCGGCCGUUGCAGCCGUUCUUUGGGGGCUACAAAAGCACUCGGUCGCCCCCCAUUUGCGGAAACCUCUCCUCCCUCUCUGCUAGGAUUUUUUAAGCCUUUAUCUGUGCCGCCGGAGAAAGUGGUCGCAGUUCCUCCCCGGAGUUAGGUAAGCCACCGAACCUCGUCCACUCGUUCCCUAUCUUCCCUCUUCCUGAUCUACUCGGGAUAACUGAACAAAAGAAAAGAAGAAACAGAGGGGAAGAAUAAGAAGAAAUAGAGAAGAGAGAAAAAGAGAGAGGCGUACCUGUGGUCGUCAGCAUUGCCGACCCUCGAUCACAGGCAUCACCGGGUUUCGACCGCUGAUGUCCCCAGUCUUUGGCCGUAACUCCCGUGGGGUCGGAGACCAGCAACUUCUCUUUCCCUCUUCCAUGUUUUCGAGACAAAAUAGAGGAAGGGCUCCACGGCUCUCGGUCGCAGCCACCGCCGAUCCUCGACUGGGGCUGCAGUCGGGCCGGAGCCCUUCCCUCUCUCCAGUGGGCUAGAGGGGAGGCUCUCGCCUCUUCCCUUCGGUGAAGAGAAAAAGGGAGACGGAUGAAAAAAGAGGAAGAGGAAGAAGAAGAAGAGGAGGAAAGAAGGGCUUAUCGGAGUCUGACCCUAGGAAUUUAUGAGCGAACCGAGAUAAGUGACUCUGGUACAAGUCUUAUUGAUUUCAGAUUACUGACAUUAUUUUAGAUAUGAAAUUAUAUAUUAUGACUAAUUGUGCAUUUUCUUAAUAAUUAGGAUCAAGCAUAUAGCAAGUGCUUCAUGAUUUUGGCUAAAUAACAUCCUUCAUGAAUAUUUAUUUGUGUAUAUAUAAAUUAUGAUUUUGUAAAAAUUGCAUAAAAAUAAUAUUGUGGCAUGAUUAUGCAUUUUAAAAGUUACGAUGUCAUUAUUCAUUUUUUUCAACAUAAUUACAAAGUAUGGUUUAUGAAAAGUAUGAAAUGAUUUAUGAACUCUCAGAUUGCUAUGUACGGCCCUCGCUAGCAGAUAUAAUAGCUCGGCAUACGGCCCUCGCCAGCGAGUAUAAUAGCUCGGCAUAUGGCCCCGCCAAUGGGUAAUAAUAGUUGGCAAAGAUUACAAUCUUGUCACGGGUUAUAGUGACCAUAGUUGCACUACCAUCUGAGAGCACGAUUUUCAAAGCAUAAAAUAAUGACAGUAUUUUACAUUGCAUUUCUAUCUUUACGAACUUGCAAGAUUGAACAUGCAUUGCUUUAUAACUUGUUUUAGGUAUAUUGUCUAUGAAAUGCAUUACUUUGUUAUACUGUUAUUUUCUUUAAAUAAUGCAUUAGCAUGUGAAAUAUUAUGCUUGAUCUGGUAAAAUAGUGCAUGGUGACUUACUGAGCCGCAUAGCUCAUAUGACUCUUUUUUUUUAUCUUCAGAUAAAUAAGAUUGCUAAGAGUAGGGAGCUUGAAGCUUUUAGGGUUUAGGCAAUUGAUUCUGGUUGUACAAAUUUUUAGACCUAUGUAUCGUUGUCUUUUUGAAAAAUAUUCUAUAAUAAAAUGUUACUUUGUUAUGGAUUGCUAAUGUGACUUCGUAUUGUUGUGGGCAAUAACUUACAACAGCACGGCCGGAUUUUGGGCGUGACAGAAAUCAUGUGCUUUAGGAGACUUUCAAUGGGUUGUGGUACAAUGUAAGGAAAGAGCCUUAGAGUUGGAAUAGGAAAUGAGGAGGAUGAGGUCUCAUCGUGCAAUGAAAGGGUGUGGUGUACGGAAGGUUCGCGGAUGUCCCAAAACGGGAAAUACCCUCUUUGAAGGGCAACUCGGGGGCUUUGGAGUCCUCGAUUCGACAAAUAUUCAAUGAGAAUGGUCAAGAAAAGGCAACAUCACCAACUAAAAUGGACGAAAGGGAAGCAGCUUCGUCGUCUCCUCGAACUUCUCCGGACCAUAAUGGCCAGGAAUCAUCAGUGGCUCAGCCGACUAGCUAGGUUCCACCAUGCAAGCCAACUUGCUCCAGGUUUACUCUCUUGGAGAUGGAAGAGCCAAGGGCAAGGGGGGAGACCUAGGCAGUAGUGAAAGAGGCCAUUUCACCUUCUUUGGUAGAGGCCACCUUAACCACACCAACAUCAACUGAGGGUACCAGUAGUACUGAAAGAGUUGCCAUUUCACCACCUAUUGUCCACACAAUUGACCCAGUAAUCUUCUAACCACUAGAACGGAUAAUGCUCUACACUCACAUUUACUGUUAUCUUGGCAAGCUGCAAUAUUCCUUGGGGGUGGGACAAGGGGAUCGAAGAUGAGAACAGAAGCGGCUAAAGGGUUAUUUGAGUCACCUUGGUGAAAACCAAGGAUCCAAUGUAUAGCCACCAGCACUGUCCCCUAGUUUUGAGAAUAGGAUAGGCCAACAUGGUGCUAAUCAAAGUUUACCCAAUCUAACCACUUCUAUGUAAAUGAAAGUUUUGUCUAGGAAUUGCAAAGGAGCUAUGAAAUGCUCCUUUGUAAAUUACGCAAAAAAUAUGCUGCGUCUAUAUAGUCCUGUUGUCUGUUGUUUUUUUGGAGACAAGAUUUUCUGAAGGAUCUUUAGCUAGAAUAUCUAGAAUACUUAGCCCCUUAUGGCAAGUCUAUAUGGUGCUGGCUGAAGGUUUGUCAGGAGGAAUCAUAAUAGUAUGGAGGAAGGAUGUAAGGAAUAUUAGUUUUACUCGUUCCGAUAAACAUGACCUUCUUGGAUUAUGGGAUAGCAUAUGCCAAUACUAAUGGCCUAUCAUAUAGGAUUAUUUGGUAGUUAGUAACCAUAGUUAUGUCAAUAGGCUAGGGUUACCUUUACUACUUUUGGAUGAUUUUAACUACAUUUUACACCUGGAAGAUAAGAAAGGGGGAAGACAGUUUAGGGUAAACCAUAACAUCUGUGAAUUUAGAGCAUUCCUACAAUCUACCAGUUUGAUUGAUUUAGGGUUUCAAGGAUCAACUUAUACCUGGUGUAACAGCCAAAUGGAAUUAGCUCGGUUGUGGGAGAGAUUGGAUCGGAUCUUUCUCUUUCUAUCUGACCACUGACUGGAUCUCUUUCCAGAAUCAAAGGUGCUCCACUUAGCCCGAUAUGCAUCAGAUCAUUGUCUCAUCCCGCUAUCCAUUCUAGACUACAAGCCAUGGGCCCUAGCCAUUUCAUUUUGAGAAGUUCUACGUGUUGUGAAGCCACAUAUAUACGAGGUGAUUCAUUAAGCAUAGAAAUGCAAAGGCAGCCACUCCUUAGGGAUAAGGCUGUGGCUAAUGCUCCGGAACACACAGCGGCACUCCGAAGAAGAAAUUGAAGGCAUAUAGAGAAUAUAUUUAGAAAGGGGGAACACUUAUAUGGAAUGCUUCUACAGUUACAAGCAAAAGAGUUCCAACUAGGGGACCUAACACAACAGGAUCAUAUGCAGCUGUAUAUUAGGAACACUCUGAGCCUAUUAUCAAAACUUGCAGUGCCAAAAGGCAUUUCAGAGGCAGAAGUCAUGCAUGCUCUAGUGCAACGAAGGCAACACUAAAGGUGGCAACACCAAUCCACCAUUAUAGGGCCGCGUCAGAAUCUCGUUGCCAUGCUUCAGGAUCCAUAGGGGCAUCGGGAGGAAGGGGAGCAAGCCAUUAGGGACAUGUUGAAUUGGCACACUUCCAGCACAGGUGGCGACACCAACAACAUGACCCCUGCUCAUGGCCACCUCCUCUUACAACCCAAGUCACUAUGCAACAAAAUGAUCAGCUCCUAGCAGCAGUAACGGAGGACGAAAUUAAGCAAGCAAUCAAAGGUAUGCAUCUAGACAAAACACCGGAACCAGAUGGGCUUCUCUCUUUUUUUAAAAAAGAAUUCUGGUAUAUAAUUAAAGCUGAUGUGGUGACUACAAUAAAAAGCUUCUUUAGGUAUACUUCUAUGCCCCAUUGCUGGAAAGAUACUUGCAUAACAUUAACCCCUAGAGAAGAAAGUCCUACACAAGUACAAGACUGUAGACCUAUUAGUCUAUGUAAUACUAUUUAUAAACUAGUGGCAAAAACUUUUGUGAAGAGGCUCAAACCAAUCAUGUCUAAUAUAAUAUCAAAUACUCAAGGGGCCUUCGUCCCGGGCAUAAUAUAACGAAAAAUAUUAUGCUAGCCGAAGAGAUCAUGCAUUAAUGAAGGCACCAAGGUCCAAAAGCUUAAUAGCAAUAAAGGUAGACAUGGAGCAGGCCUAUGAUAGGAGCGAUUGGCAAUCUAUAUUGAGGGUGUUAAUGCAUUUUGGUUUCCAUGCUUGGUUUAUUAGAUGGGUUCAAGCAUGCAUCUUAAAUCAUAGAUUUUCAUCAUUAGUUAAUGGUAUUUCCGCAUCAUAGUUUUUACCAACCAGAGAUUUAUGCCAAGGUUGUCCACUUUCCCCAUACUUAUUUAUAAUGUGCUCAGAAAUCCUUUCAUCAGAUUAAUGCAGUUAGCAAUUGAAAACAAAGUAUUGUGAGCAUACAGACCAUCGAGGAGAGGACUAAAUGUAUCCCACAUAUUUUUUUGCUGAUGACUACUUGCAGGUGGCUAAGGCAAUGAAGAGAGACUCUCUAUGCAUGAAACCGCUACUAGCGUUCUACUACACAGUAUCUGAUCAAGCUAUUCAAAGAUAUAUUGAUGUAGAAACGGGCUUGCUAUGCAUCUUGAGCAACGCAUAUUUGUGGGGAGGGCAAUCAAUUACCCAACUGGUUAGCUGCUGAACCUAUCGAAGGACCUAUGCAAAUCAAAAGGUGCAUCAUCCAAGGAAAGACAGUGCAAGCUGUACAGCAGCGGCUGGAUGCACGGAGGGAGAUUGCCUUUUUUUUUUUAAUCAAGCCGAUACUGGGCUGUUGUCGAGGCUCUCUCCAGAUUGGGCUUCUCUUGGAUCAAUUUCUCAUGGUAUUGCGUCAAAUAACAGUGAGUCACGUACUAUUAUUCUCUUGUCAGUCAACUUCUUGUGACAUGGCCUAAUAGAUGGGCAAGCAUUGCGUUAUUUAUGAAACACUCUGCAGCUAAGUCCAACCAUCCUUCUAUGAUACUGAGAUCUUCUGAACUAGAUAUGAGAUCCUAUGACGUCAAAUGCCUCAGCCCAAGGCAGAGCACUCCCUCUCACAGUCUCACCUCAUCUUCGCUGCUACUAAACAAAAGCAUUAUAGAGAAAGCAAUUAAAUAAGGGAGUAAUGUGGCGAUAGCAUCGUUACCAUCGGUACUUCCUUCUGAAGCAUGGAGCACCUCAGCGGUCAAGAUUCCUCCUCUUCUCUCUAGACUCUGCUCGUCUUUUGCACCCAUGUGCACUUCAUGUUCUCCCCACACGGCACGGAGUCACGGACACCUCCACUUUCUCUGCAUUCUGUAACAAGAGUCCCCAGCAAAAAAACCAAAAAAAAAACGCAAGAUGCGAUGUCCGGAAGGUAAGCGUUGCUAGCUUCCCAACUCCCACAUUAAACAUCGAUCCCACCCUUCUCCGAGUCUCUCACACACCCAAACAUAUUUUCCCUUUUCUUUCUCCACCCGCGCGACCAACCAACCUAUUCCGCCACGAAGCCCAAGUUUGGCAACUCGUGGGAGAACAGGAGAUGAUGAGACUCUCACUAGAAAAUGUAAUGGAACCACACGGAUCCCAAGUUGAUGCAGGGGACUCCGAUUGUCCCCUUGGCCGCUAUAUUCCAAAGCGAGCACUAUUAUCAACGUGGUGGCGGGCCUCAACCCUCAAUGAAGCGGCUAGAUCAGACCAAACUGGCUAGACCUGGCCAAAAAAUUGAAGAAUUUUUUUUUAAAACUGGCGGACGUCAAUGCGAGUUUCACUCUCUUUUUUUUAAUUUUUAGAAGAAGAAAAAAUGACGGCGUAACUGUUGAAGGCACACGGCUUCUUGUACCUUGGAGGGAUCCAGGGGCUCAGAUGCCGAAGAAUUUGGCUUUAUUUACUCUUUUAGAUUUUGUUAAACUCUAGGCUGGAGACUCGGACGGGAAUCGCUCUGCACAAGAACCUUUAGAUUUUUUCCUUUUUCCUUAUACGAAGCCUUUAGUUCGAAUAAUUGGCCAAAAUGGUAUUCUGAUAAACCUGAUUUCGCAAAGCUAAAAUACUUGCCGUGUCAUAAGAACUUCAUAAUAACCUUUUCUGAAAAAUAAACUCUAUGAGAACAUAUGUAACAGAAGACAUACUAUAGCAUUGCUCAGAGUAAUAGAAUGUUUAAGUGUGGCAAUUUUAUCUUUGGUAAUUGGUUUCUUAGGAAUAAAAAAGGGGGGGAGUAAAAGGACUAAAAUCGUCCAUAAGAAGCCUCGAUUUAUCAUCAAAUAUUAAGAAGCAAAUUUGAGGUUAAGAAAAAGGAAAAGCGAAGCAAGGCGAUUCGCUCAAGUCCUAACUGCCUCUUUCAGUCCUCAGGCCCUGUUUGGGGGGGCUUUUGGUACUUUCUGGCCCUCCAAAAGUACUUUUAGAUAAAAAACUGUGUUUGGUAAAUUUUUCAAAAAGCUGUUUCAGCUUUUGCGGGAAGCUGAAAACAGCUUUUGGAAGGAAGCUCCAAUUUGGAGCUUUUGGAAGGAAGCUGUUUCAGUUUUUUCGGAAAGCUGUAUUUUUGACAAAAAUGCCCAUAUUAAAAUAACAUAAUUACAUAGUUUGUCCCUUUAUAAAUCUAAAAAUCUGUUGGAGCCAAGAACCCUAGCCGUCAGACUCCCUUCCAUAAGAAAAGGUAUUUUUCUUUUCAAUUUUUGUAUGUAUCUCUUGAACCACAUUUUAGAAGAAAAAAAUUUUAAUCCUUUUCCAUAUCUUCCAAAAUCAAUCUAUUGUUUUUUUUUAUCAUCAACUUCGCGGCCCACGCUAAGGUCCUCCUCGAGCAUGGACCACGAAGAAGAGNNNNNNNNNNNNNNNNNNNNNNNNNNNNNNNNNNNNNNNNNNNNNNNNNNNNNNNNNNNNNNNNNNNNNNNNNNNNNNNNNNNNNNNNNNNNNNNNNNNNNNNNNNNNNNNNNNNNNNNNNNNNNNNNNNNNNNNNNNNNNNNNNNNNNNNNNNNNNNNNNNNNNNNNNNNNNNNNNNNNNNNNNNNNNNNNNNNNNNNNNNNNNNNNNNNNNNNNNNNNNNNNNNNNNNNNNNNNNNNNNNNNNNNNNNNNNNNNNNNNNNNNNNNNNNNNNNNNNNNNNNNNNNNNNNNNNNNNNNNNNNNNNNNNNNNNNNNNNNNNNNNNNNNNNNNNNNNNNNNNNNNNNNNNNNNNNNNNNNNNNNNNNNNNNNNNNNNNNNNNNNNNNNNNNNNNNNNNNNNNNNNNNNNNNNNNNNNNNNNNNNNNNNNNNNNNNNNNNNNNNNNNNNNNNNNNNNNNNNNNNNNNNNNNNNNNNNNNNNNNNNNNNNNNNNNNNNNNNNNNNNNNNNNNNNNNGUAAUAUAUUAUAUUACAUUAUAAUACAUUAAUAUGUUAUUUUAAAUAAUUUAAUAUUAUGUUAUAUUAUGAGAACUUAAUUUAUACUAAUAAUUAUAAUAUUUUAUACUUUUAUUAUUGUAUUAUACUAUAAAUAUAAUAUAUAUUACAUUAUAUCAUAAUACAUUAAUAUGUUAUGUUAAAUAAUUUAAUAUUAUGUUAUAUUACCAAAUAUUAAUUUACUCUAAUAAUUAUAUUACUAUUAUGCUAUAUCAAUAUAAUAUUAUUUUAUAUUACAAUAAUAUUAUACUAUAUCGUAUAUUUAUGUAUUAAUUUAUGUUAUGUUUUAUUAUGUUCUGUUGUAUAAUACUAUGCAAUGUUCUUUAUGGUAAUCUUGUCGUAUAAAAGUACUUUCUCAGUUUGUUUACCAAACACAAAACAAAGUACCACAGCACUUUACGAAUGUAGUUACCAAACAGCAAACAGCUUUUUAUAACAGCUCUACUUCCAA
rnacentral:lncRNA from 1 species